CCUACGGGGGGCUGCAGUGGGGAAUUUUGGACAAUGGGCGAAAGCCUGAUCCAGCCAUUCCGCGUGAGUGAAGAAGGCCUUCGGGUUGUAAAGCUCUUUCGCAAGGGAAGCGGUACCUUGAUAAGAAGCACCGGCUAACUACGUGCCAGCAGCCGCGGUAAUACGUAGGGUGCGAGCGUUAAUCGGAAUUACUGGGCGUAAAGCGUGCGCAGGCGGUUUGGCAAGUCAGAUGUGAAAUCCCCGAGCUCAACUUGGGAACUGCGUUUGAAACUGCCAGACUAGAAUAUGUCAGAGGGGGGUAGAAUUCCACGUGUAGCAGUGAAAUGCGUAGAGAUGUGGAGGAAUACCAAUGGCGAAGGCAGCCCCCUGGGAUAAAUUGACGCUCAUGCACGAAAGCGUGGGGAGCAAACAGGAUUAGAUACCCUUGUAGUC
rnacentral:rRNA from 1 species